rnacentral:rRNA from 1 species
AACGAACUCUGGUAUUGAUUGGUGCUUGCAUCAUGAUUUACAUUUGAGUGAGUGGCGAACUGGUGAGUAACACGUGGGAAACCUGCCCAGAAGCGGGGGAUAACACCUGGAAACAGAUGCUAAUACCGCAUAACAGCUUGGACCGCAUGGUCCGAGUUUGAAAGAUGGCUUCGGCUAUCACUUUUGGAUGGUCCCGCGGCGUAUUAGCUAGAUGGUGAGGUAACGGCUCACCAUGGCAAUGAUACGUAGCCGACCUGAGAGGGUAAUCGGCCACAUUGGGACUGAGACACGGCCCAAACUCCUACGGGAGGCAGCAGUAGGGAAUCUUCCACAAUGGACGAAAGUCUGAUGGAGCAACGCCGCGUGAGUGAAGAAGGGUUUCGGCUCGUAAAACUCUGUUGUUAAAGAAGAACAUAUCUGAGAGUAACUGUUCAGGUAUUGACGGUAUUUAACCAGAAAGCCACGGCUAACUACGUGCCAGCAGCCGCGGUAAUACGUAGGUGGCAAGCGUUGUCCGGAUUUAUUGGGCGUAAAGCGAGCGCAGGCGGUUUUUUAAGUCUGAUGUGAAAGCCUUCGGCUCAACCGAAGAAGUGCAUCGGAAACUGGGAAACUUGAGUGCAGAAGAGGACAGUGGAACUCCAUGUGUAGCGGUGAAAUGCGUAGAUAUAUGGAAGAACACCAGUGGCGAAGGCGGCUGUCUGGUCUGUAACUGACGCUGAGGCUCGAAAGUAUGGGUAGCAAACAGGAUUAGAUACCCUGGUAGUCCAUACCGUAAACGAUGAAUGCUAAGUGUUGGAGGGUUUCCGCCCUUCAGUGCUGCAGCUAACGCAUUAAGCAUUCCGCCUGGGGAGUACGGCCGCAAGGCUGAAACUCAAAGGAAUUGACGGGGGCCCGCACAAGCGGUGGAGCAUGUGGUUUAAUUCGAAGCUACGCGAAGAACCUUACCAGGUCUUGACAUACUAUGCAAAUCUAAGAGAUUAGACGUUCCCUUCGGGGACAUGGAUACAGGUGGUGCAUGGUUGUCGUCAGCUCGUGUCGUGAGAUGUUGGGUUAAGUCCCGCAACGAGCGCAACCCUUAUUAUCAGUUGCCAGCAUUAAGUUGGGCACUCUGGUGAGACUGCCGGUGACAAACCGGAGGAAGGUGGGGAUGACGUCAAAUCAUCAUGCCCCUUAUGACCUGGGCUACACACGUGCUACAAUGGAUGGUACAACGAGUUGCGAACUCGCGAGAGUAAGCUAAUCUCUUAAAGCCAUUCUCAGUUCGGAUUGUAGGCUGCAACUCGCCUACAUGAAGUCGGAAUCGCUAGUAAUCGCGGAUCAGCAUGCCGCGGUGAAUACGUUCCCGGGCCUUGUACACACCGCCCGUCACACCAUGAGAGUUUGUAACACCCAAAGUCGGUGGGGU